GGGUCAGUAGGUUGGUCGUGCCACCGUUUCGUACUGGUCUCACUGAUUCCUCCUUCCUGAAGAACCGUAAUGCCAUUAAUUUGGUGUUGCGGGGAAACAGGACUGUUACUUUGAAAAAAUUAGAGUGUUUAAAGCAAGCUAACGCUUGAAUACAUUAGCAUGGAAUAAUGAAAUAGGACGAUAGAUCCUCUUUUGUUGGUUUCUAGGAUUGACGUA
rnacentral:rRNA from 1 species